AAAUCUUCAAAACUUUCAACAACGGAUCUCUUGGUUCUCGCAACGAUGAAGAACGCAGCGAAAUGCGAUACGUAAUGUGAAUUGCAGGUUUUCGUGAAUCAUCGAAUCUUUGAACGCAUAUUGCGCCCUCUGGUAUUCCGGAGGGCAUGCCUGUUUGAGCGUCAUUU
rnacentral:rRNA from 2 species